AUUGAACGCUGGCGGCAGGCCUAACACAUGCAAGUCGAACGAGUGGCGGACGGGUGAGUAAUGUCUGGGAAACUGCCUGAUGGAGGGGGAUAACUACUGGAAACGGUAGCUAAUACCGCAUACCAUCGGAUGUGCCCAUAUUGGAUUAGCUAGUGGGUGGGGUAACGGCUCACCUAGGCGACGAUCCCUAGCUGGUCUGAGAGGAUGACCAGCCAAACUGGGACUGAGACACGGUCCAGACUCCUACGGGAGGCAGCAGUGGGGAAUAUUGCACAAUGGGCGAAAGCCUGAUGCAGCCAUGCCGCGUGUGUGAAGAAGGCCUUCGGGUUGUAAAGCACUUUCAGCGGGGAGGCGUUACCCGCAGAAGAAGCACCGGCUAACUCCGUGCCAGCAGCCGCGGUAAUAC
rnacentral:rRNA from 1 species